UAAGAUCAUGCUUUUUAUGGUGAAUCUGCGAAUGGCUCAUUAAACCAGCCACAAUCUACUCGAUGCUUUCAGUUAAACGGAUAACUGCGCUAAUUGUGGAGCUAAUACGUGCUUUCGGCUCGCGGCUUUCGUCGUGACGCACUUGUUAGAACAAGGCCAAUCGGGUUUCCCGUUCUGGUGACUCUGAACAAUUUCGCUGAUCGCAUGGUCUAGUACCGGCGACAGAUCGAUCGAGUGUCUGCCUUAUCAACUUUCGAUGGAAGUCUAUAUGACUACCAUGGUAGUGACGGGUAACGGAGAAUAAGGGUUCGACUCCGGAGAGGGAGCCUGAGAAACGGCUACCACAUCCAAGGAAGGCAGCAGGCGCGUAAAUUACCCACUCUCAAUGCGAGGAGGUAGUAACUAUCAAUAACGAGACAGAUCUCUUUGAGGCCUGUUAUCGGAAUGGAAGCAAUGUAAACGCUUCAUUGAGGAUCUAUGAGAGGGCAAGUCUGGUGCCAGCAGCCGCGGUAAUUCCAGCUCUCAAGGUGUAUAUCGUCAUUGCUGCGGUUAAAAAGCUCGUAGUUGGAUCUGAGUUUGAGGUCGUGGUGCACCUUGCGUGUAACUGCGUGCCCGAACUGUUUUGCUGGUUUUCCUUGGUUUCGGCCUUGGUGGCUGGCAGGUUUACCUUGAAUAAAUCAAAUUGCUUAAGAAAGACGGUAAGGUCUGAAUGCUUGUGCAUGGAAUAAUGGAACAGGACUUCGGUUCGUUGCGUUGGUCUCAGAGCCGGUGUAAUGGUUAAGAGGGACAAACGGGGGCAUCUCGUAUCGCUACGUGAGAG
rnacentral:rRNA from 1 species